GGCAAGGCGGCCAGCGGGAUGUGAUCUUCACUGCUACUUAGAGAUGUCUCAUCAUAACUUUGGCAACACGUGGUCAGGAGCUCAUGAUCCUCAGCUGAACACAAGAUGGAAGGAGACAGUACACCAGGAAAUUAGCUUCUCCAGCUUAAAAAUGAAGGAGAGAGACCCAAGCAUUUCUCUGGAUGUAGAGAGAUGGGGAAGAAAAGUCAUAUUCCUGAGAUCUCAAGGGAACUGGCAUUUUGGACAGAAAAACACCAGCACUGGCUUGGUGUUAUCAACAUGCAAGUGUCCAACACAGAACUUCGAUAUAGUCCCAUGCAGUACAGUUUGAGAGGCCUUUUUUUAUGAUCACACCAAAACAUGGGAUUGACUGUUUGGAGAGACUCUCCUUAUAGUCUUUCACUAGUUGAUGAAAGCCUUAAUUAGGAAGAGGAAGACAUUUGUUUUAACAGCAUGUAAAAUUUAAUUGCUGUCUUUUG